AUGAAUGUAAUAACAACACCACAAUUGACAACAUCUCAAUACAACACCAUCGUUGACCAAAAGCCUACAUCUCAAAAGCAUCUCAACAUCUCUUCAUCUACAUCUCAUAUCAUUCAUAAUAAUUCAUCAAACAUCAUUUAUUCAUCAAACACAACUUCAUUGAUAACAUCUCAUCAACUCAGUUGUACUUUAAUACGACAGUAA